rnacentral:rRNA from 1 species
UACGAAGGGGGCUAGCGUUGUUCGGAAUUACUGGGCGUAAAGCGCACGUAGGCGGAUUUUUAAGUCAGGGGUGAAAUCCCGAGGCUCAACCUCGGAACUGCCUUUGAUACUGGGGAUCUCGAGUCCGGAAGAGGUUGGUGGAACUGCGAGUGUAGAGGUGAAAUUCGUAGAUAUUCGCAAGAACACCAGUGGCGAAGGCGGCCAACUGGUCCGGUACUGACGCUGAGGUGCGAAAGCGUGGGGAGCAAACAGGG